UGAAAGCCCCCGGUCAACUGGGAGAGUCAUGUGUAACGGCAGAGCUAACGAGUGCAGGAGAGGGAAGUGGAACUCCGGGAGUAGCGGUGAAAUGCGUAGAUACCCGGAGGAAUACCAGUGGCGAAGGCGGCUUCCUGGUCUGCUACUGACGCUGUGGCGCGAAAGCUAGGGGAGCAAACGGGAUUAGAUACCCCGGUAGUCCUAGCCGUAAACGAUGGACACUAGGUGUGCGCGGUAUCGACCCCGCGCGUGCCGGAGCAAACGCAGUAAGUGUCCCGCCUGGGGAGUACGGCCGCAAGGCUAAAACUCAAAGGAAUUGACGGGGACCCGCACAAGCAGCGGAGCGUGUGGUUUAAUUCGACGCAACGCGAAGAACCUUACCUGGUCUUGACAUGUGUGAGAAACGCCAAGAGAUUGGUGCCCCCGAAAGGGCUCAUUCACAGGUGCUGCAUGGCUGUCGUCAGCUCGUGUCGUGAGAUGUUGGGUUAAGUCCCGCAACGAGCGCAACCCUUGUUGCCAGUUAGGAUGUCUGGCGAGACUGCCGGUAAAAAAUCGGAGGAAGGCGGGGAUGACGUCAAGUCAGCACGGCCCUUACGACCAGGGCUACACACACACUACAAUGGCCGCGACAAAGCGCAGCGACAGGGUGACCUUGAGCGAAUCGCAUCAAACGCGGUCUCAGUUCGGAUUGCAGGCUGCAACUCGCCUGCAUGAAGUCGGAGUUGCUAGUAACCGCCGGUCAGCACACGGCGGUGAAUAUGUUCCCGGGUCU
rnacentral:rRNA from 1 species